GAUGAACGCUAGCUACAGGCUUAACACAUGCAAGUCGAGGGGCAGCAUGAUUGAAGCUUGCUUCAAUCGAUGGCGACCGGCGCACGGGUGAGUAACACGUAUCCAACCUGCCGAUAACUCGGGGAUAGCCUUUCGAAAGAAAGAUUAAUACCCGAUAGUAUAGUAUUUCCGCAUGGUUUCACUAUUAAAGAACUUCGGUUAUCGAUGGGGAUGCGUUCCAUUAGAUAGUUGGCGGGGUAACGGCCCACCAAGUCAACGAUGGAUAGGGGUUCUGAGAGGAAGGUCCCCCACAUUGGAACUGAGACACGGUCCAAACUCCUACGGGAGGCAGCAGUGAGGAAUAUUGAUCAAUGGACGAGAGUCUGAACCAGCCAAGUAGCGUGAAGGAUGACUGCCCUAUGGGUUGUAAACUUCUUUUAGACGGGAAUAAAGUGGAGUAUGCAUACUCCUUUGUAUGUACCGUAUGAAUAAGGAUCGGCUAACUCCGUG
rnacentral:rRNA from 1 species